rnacentral:misc_RNA from 1 species
UUUGAAACUUUAGCAACAUGUGAGGAUCUUGAGGAACCGGAUUGCAAGACUCUAGCAAGUUCUUUGCCCGUCUCACCAAAGAAGCCAGAAAUAUCAAAAUUAAAUGAAGCUAUCAUUUCAGCAACAGAGGAAGAGGAUGCUUGUCCCAUCUGUCUUGAAGAGUAUGACACGCCGAAUCCAAGAUUUUUGACCAAAUGUGAACAUCAUUUUCACCUGUCAUGCAUUCUGGAGUGGAUGGAAAGGAGUGACACCUGACCCCAUUUGUGAUCAGGAAAUGGUAUUUGACCAUAACUUCAAUUAGUAGCUCUUUUAUGAUUUACAAGAAGCAAAUCAUUUGCUGUUUCAAUUGAAAGUUUGCCAACUUAGUGGGCUACUGUCCCAUGUCAGUGUUGUCUCACAACUGGUCAGUAGAGUUCCCACGGGGACUGUUUUAAGUUUGGUCUUGGUUGGUUUGAAAAGUUCAAAAUAUCAUAGUUUUAUGUGAUUACUUCUGGGAAGGUUAAAAGAAAAGGAAUGGAUUUUUAACGCGACAUGGAAACAAGUUGCCUCUUCAUACCCCUUUGUUAAUAUCUUGGUGGAUAGUUUUCAAAUAGGCCUGCAGAGUGCAGGUAGCCACAUUGUUAUGAAGCGCUCAGGAAAAACAACCUGAGAGGAAGUUUAACGCAAACAAAGGUAUGUAACAAAGAUAAAGCAAAUGUUCAUUUCUGCCUUCCAUGUUGUGUUAAUGAACUGCGCUCCCUUUCUCUUGUAUUUGCUUGUUGUAAGCUGCUUAAAUUUGGAUUUUUUUUUUCAGUCACAGUCUUUGUAAAUUAAAUCUGUUAGAAGUCAAU